rnacentral:lncRNA from 1 species
CGAGAACCAAGCGAAAAUCAUCCAUUGUAGCCACCGAAAAAUCCACUUGGCCAUGCCAAGUGCCUAAUUGAAUUUCCACCCCUCGAACUAUGCCACCAAGGGGCGUGGAUGGAGAAUUCACAGCUUUCAUAAGACCACCUCCUUUAGUGAUCGUGAGGCCCAACCUUCUAGCCUCAUUUUCAGUAAUGAAGUUGUUGGUAGC